rnacentral:rRNA from 1 species
AAUAGAUACCCCGGUAGUCCACGCCGUAAACGAUGGAUACUAGCUGUUUGAGCGCAAGUUUGAGUGGCUAAGCGAAAGUGAUAAGUAUCCCACCUGGGGAGUACGGGCGCAAGCCUGAAACUCAAAGGAAUUGACGGGGGCCCGCACAAGCGGUGGAGCAUGUGGUUUAAUUCGAUGAUACGCGAGGAACCUUACCAGGGCUUAAAUGUAGAUUGACGUAUUUGGAAACAGAUAUUUCUUCGGACAAUUUACAAGGUGCUGCAUGGUUGUCGUCAGCUCGUGCCGUGAGGUGUCAGGUUAAGUCCUAUAACGAGCGCAACCCCUGUUGUUAGUUGCCAGCGAGUAAUGUCGGGAACUCUAGCAAGACUGCCAGUGUAAACUGUGAGGAAGGUGGGGAUGACGUCAAAUCAUCACGGCCCUUACGUCCUGGGCCACACACGUGCUACAAUGGCCGGUACAGAGAGCAGCCACUUAGCGAUAAGGAGCGAAUCUAUAAAGCCGGUCACAGUUCGGAUCGGAGUCUGCAA